AUGAGACUGUUGGGUCUUCUCCUUUGCCUAGUGACGGCUCCCCAAGGUGUCCUGUCCCAGGUGCAGCUGCAGGAGUCGGUCCAGGACUGGUGAAGCCCUCGCAGACACUGUCCCUCACCUGCACUGUCUCUGGAGGUUCCAUUACAAGCAGCUAUUACGGUUGGAGCCGGAUCCGCCAGCCUCCAGGGAAGGGUCUGGAGUGGAUAGGUGUAAUAAGUUAUAGUGGUAGCACUUACUACAACCCAUCCCUCAAGAGCCGCACCUCCAUCUCCAGAGACACGUCCAAGAACCAGUUCUCCCUGCAGCUGAAUUCGGUGACCACCGAGGACACAGCCGUGUAUUACUGUGCAGGAGACACAGUGAGGGGAAGAGCAGGAGCAGAUGGAGGUUAA